GAUGAACGCUGGCGGCGUGCCUAAUACAUGCAAGUCGAGCGAACAGACGAGGAGCUUGCUCCUCUGACGUUAGCGGCGGACGGGUGAGUAACACGUGGAUAACCUACCUAUAAGACUGGGAUAACUUCGGGAAACCGGAGCUAAUACCGGAUAAUAUAUUGAACCGCAUGGUUCAAUAGUGAAAGACGGUUUUGCUGUCACUUAUAGAUGGAUCCGCGCCGCAUUAGCUAGUUGGUAAGGUAACGGCUUACCAAGGCAACGAUGCGUAGCCGACCUGAGAGGGUGAUCGGCCACAUUGGAACUGAGACACGGUCCAGACUCCUACGGGAGGCAGCAGUAGGGAAUCUUCCGCAAUGGGCGAAAGCCUGACGGAGCAACGCCGCGUGAGUGAUGAAGGUCUUCGGAUCGUAAAACUCUGUUAUUAGGGAAGAACAAAUGUGUAAGUAACUAUGCACGGCUUGACGGUACCUAAUCAGAAAGCCACGGCUAACUACGUG
rnacentral:rRNA from 1 species